GGCAGUUCCUGGGCUCUGAGGAGCAGCUGCCACAACUGACUUGUGGUGGAGCAGCGGGUGAAAGCACACCACUGCUCCUGCCAGCUCCUGCUGGCUCCUGCUGGCUCCCGCUGCGGAGGCGGCUGGGUUCUGCACCGGGUACAGUCAGAAGCACAGGAGGGUGAGAGAAUUCACCAGAGCCAGAGCCGGGAACAGAACAGUAUUGCAGGCAGGGGAUUGGAAAGAACCAGGACACGGAGAUAAAGAAUGUCCCCGUGAAGCUUGGGGCCAGAGGCUGUUUAUUGUCGUCACGAUGUGGUGCACGGGCUAGAGGUGAGGAAGAUAUAUUCAAGAAGUUUAUGGAUGAGAGAAGCAGCAGAAGCUAGGACCCCUACUUCCCCACGGGGUGAUCUGGGACUCCAGGACACGGCUUCAAGCACAGCCAUCCUAGCCUGAGUCUAGACAGAUGGGCCUGUCCCCUGAAGCCGGAGACUAAGCUUGAGUACCUGCAGUGCAAUGAUCCUGCAAUUUUCCUCACAGCAAUAAAAACCU